rnacentral:rRNA from 1 species
UACAGAGGGUGCGAGCGUUAAUCGGAAUUACUGGGCGUAAAGCGUGCGUAGACGGCUAUCUAAGUCGGGUGUGAAAGCCCCGGGCUCAACCUGGGAAUUGCAUUCGAGACUGAAUAGCUAGGGUGCGGUAGAGGGAAGCGGAAUUUCCGGUGUAGCGGUGAAAUGCGUAGAGAUGUGGAGGAACACCAAUGGCGAAGGCAGCCUUCUGGGCCAACACUGACGCUCAUGCACGAAAGCGUGGGGAGCAAACAGG